CACGUAGGGCGCAAGCGUUGUCCGGAAUUAUUGGGCGUAAAGAGCUCGUAGGCGGUCUGUUACGUCUUCUGUGAAAACCCGGGGCUUAACCCUGGGCUUGCAGUGGAUACGGGCAGACUAGAGGCAGGUAGGGGAGAAUGGAAUUCCCGGUGUAGCGGUGAAAUGCGCAGAUAUCGGGAGGAACACCGGUGGCGAAGGCGGUUCUCUGGGCCUGUACUGACGCUGAGGAGCGAAAGCGUGGGGAGCGAACAGG
rnacentral:rRNA from 1 species